rnacentral:rRNA from 1 species
GACGAACGCUGGCGGCGUGCCUAAUACAUGCAAGUCGAGCGAAUCGGCGGUUGGGUGAGUAACGCGUGGGUAACCUGCCCUUAUGUCUGGGAUACCAUUUGGAAACAGAUGCUAAUACCGGAUACUAAAGGAUGGACCUGCGAUGCAUUAGCUAGUUGGUAAGGUAACGGCUUACCAAGGCGAUGAUGCAUAGCCGGGUUGAGAGACUGACCGGCCACAUUGGAACUGAGACACGGCCCAAACUCCUACGGGAGGCAGCAGUAGGGAAUCUUCCACAAUGGACGAAAGUCUGAUGAAGCAACGCCGCGUGAGUGAAGAAGGUUUUCGGAUCGUAAAGCUCUGUUGUUGGUGAGGCGGUAAUCAACCAGAAAGUCACGGCUAACUACGUGCCAGCAGCCGCGGUAAUUC